UACGUAGGGACCAAGCGUUGUUCGGAUUUACUGGGCGUAAAGGGCGCGUAGGCGGGAUGGCAAGUCGGUCGUGAAAUCCUUCGGCUCAACCGAAGAACGUCGGCCGAUACUGCCGUUCUUGAGGGAUGCAGAGGAGAUUGGAAUUCCCGGUGUAGCGGUGAAAUGUGUAGAGAUCGGGAGGAACACCGGUGGCGAAGGCGGGUCUCUGGGCAUCUCCUGACGCUGAGGCGCGAAAGCGUGGGGAGCAAACGGG
rnacentral:rRNA from 1 species